rnacentral:rRNA from 2 species
AACGCUGGCGGCGUGCCUAAUACAUGCAAGUCGAACGAACUCUGGUAUUGAUUGGUGCUUGCAUCAUGAUUUACAUUUGAGUGAGUGGCGAACUGGUGAGUAACACGUGGGAAACCUGCCCAGAAGCGGGGGAUAACACCUGGAAACAGAUGCUAAUACCGCAUAACAACUUGGACCGCAUGGUCCGAGUUUGAAAGAUGGCUUCGGCUAUCACUUUUGGAUGGUCCCGCGGCGUAUUAGCUAGAUGGUGGGGUAACGGCUCACCAUGGCAAUGAUACGUAGCCGACCUGAGAGGGUAAUCGGCCACAUUGGGACUGAGACACGGCCCAAACUCCUACGGGAGGCAGCAGUAGGGAAUCUUCCACAAUGGACGAAAGUCUGAUGGAGCAACGCCGCGUGAGUGAAGAAGGGUUUCGGCUCGUAAAACUCUGUUGUUAAAGAAGAACAUAUCUGAGAGUAACUGUUCAGGUAUUGACGGUAUUUAACCAGAAAGCCACGGCUAACUACGUGCCAGCAGCCGCGGUAAUACGUAGGUGGCAAGCGUUGUCCGGAUUUAUUGGGCGUAAAGCGAGCGCAGGCGGUUUUUUAAGUCUGAUGUGAAAGCCUUCGGCUCAACCGAAGAAGUGCAUCGGAAACUGGGAAACUUGAGUGCAGAAGAGGACAGUGGAACUCCAUGUGUAGCGGUGAAAUGCGUAGAUAUAUGGAAGAACACCAGUGGCGAAGGCGGCUGUCUGGUCUGUAACUGACGCUGAGGCUCGAAAGUAUGGGUAGCAAACAGGAUUAGAUACCCUGGUAGUCCAUACCGUAAACGAUGAAUGCUAAGUGUUGGAGGGUUUCCGCCCUUCAGUGCUGCAGCUAACGCAUUAAGCAUUCCGCCUGGGGAGUACGGCCGCAAGGCUGAAACUCAAAGGAAUUGACGGGGGCCCGCACAAGCGGUGGAGCAUGUGGUUUAAUUCGAAGCUACGCGAAGAACCUUACCAGGUCUUGACAUACUAUGCAAAUCUAAGAGAUUAGACGUUCCCUUCGGGGACAUGGAUACAGGUGGUGCAUGGUUGUCGUCAGCUCGUGUCGUGAGAUGUUGGGUUAAGUCCCGCAACGAGCGCAACCCUUAUUAUCAGUUGCCAGCAUUAAGUUGGGCACUCUGGUGAGACUGCCGGUGACAAACCGGAGGAAGGUGGGGAUGACGUCAAAUCAUCAUGCCCCUUAUGACCUGGGCUACACACGUGCUACAAUGGAUGGUACAACGAGUUGCGAACUCGCGAGAGUAAGCUAAUCUCUUAAAGCCAUUCUCAGUUCGGAUUGUAGGCUGCAACUCGCCUACAUGAAGUCGGAAUCGCUAGUAAUCGCGGAUCAGCAUGCCGCGGUGAAUACGUUCCCGGGCCUUGUACACACCGCCCGUCACACCAUGAGAGUUUGUAACACCCAAAGUCGGUGGGGUAACCUUUUAGGAACCAGCCGCCUAAGGUGGGACAGAUGAUU